UCAUCAUGUUUAUCUGAGAGAACUUCAGAAAUCUUUGAGCAGCUUCCGAACCUGCUCAAGCGUCACAAACAGAACCACAGUAAAGGGGCCUUGCCUUGAUAUCAUGGGAAUAAAACCCCUAUACAAAGCCACUG